rnacentral:lncRNA from 1 species
CUCGCUACUUUAAUUACCUUUGCUUUUAUUCCUCACUCAUAUUGUCUAACCAUCUUAAUGGUGUUUUAAUAUAACUAAAAAUAAACUUACGCCUUCUAAUGCGAUGGUGUUAGCAUUAGACUUUUCACCUCUCGGGUGAUCCAGAUUAACAAAAUUUCUCUCAGAAACUAUUUGUUGUUGAUACAUUUCUUGAUUCUACACGCACAUCUUUAUG